GUAGUUUUACAGUUGACUGUAGUAGUUGUACAAUUCAAGUUGUGCGGAUAUUUGGGCCUAAUGGGCGGUAUUGGCUGUACCCAUGUCAUCAUAAUUGCUCUGGCAUCUUCAGCAGGAGUACAUGAACCGCAAGAAUCGAAUAAUAAAAUGUUUGCAGUCCUUAUAUUCAUCUCUAACUGGAACACACUACUAUCUGGCUGUUUCUAUUUGCUUUCACAAAC